GACGAACGCUGGCGGCGUGCUUAACACAUGCAAGUCGAACGAUGAAGCCGGAGCUUGCUCCGGUGGAUUAGUGGCGAACGGGUGAGUAACACGUGAGCAAUCUGCCCUUGACUCUGGGAUAACUGCGGGAAACUGUAGCUAAUACCGGAUACGACACCUUGGGGCAUCCCAGGAUGUGGAAAGAAUUUCGGUCAAGGAUGAGCUCGCGGCCUAUCAGCUAGUUGGUGAGGUAAUGGCUCACCAAGGCGACGACGGGUAGCCGGCCUGAGAGGGGGACCGGCCACACUGGAACAGAGACACGGUCCAGACUCCUACGGGAGGCAGCAGUGGGGAAUAGUGCACAAUGGGCGAAAGCCUGAUGCAGCAACGCCGCGUGAGGGAUGAAGGCCUUCGGGUUGUAAACCUCUUUUAGCAGGGAAGAAGCGAAAGUGACGGUACCUGCAGAAAAAGCACCGGCUAACUACGUGCCAGCCGCCGCCGUAA
rnacentral:rRNA from 1 species